CUCGUAGGCGGCCAACUAAGUCAGACGUGAAAUCCCCCGGCUUAACCGGGGAACUGCAUCUGAUACUGGAUGGCUUGAGAUUGGGAGAGGGAUGCGGAAUUCCAGGUGUAGCGGUGAAAUGCGUAGAUAUCUGGAGGAACACCGGUGGCGAAGGCGGCAUCCUGGACCAACACUGACGCUGAGGAGCGAAAGCCAGGGAGCAAAC
rnacentral:rRNA from 1 species